rnacentral:rRNA from 1 species
UACCGGCGGCUCGAGUGGUGGCCGAUAUUAUUGAGUCUAAAGGGUCCGUAGCCGGCUUAGUUAGUCUUUUGGGAAAUCCAGCGGCUUAAUCGUUGGGCGUCCAUGAGAUACUGCUUUGCUUGGGACUGGGAGAGGUAGGAGGUACUCAAGGGGUAGGAGUGAAAUCCUGUAAUCCUUUGGGGACCACCGGUGGCGAAGGCGUCCUACCAGAACAGGUCCGACGGUGAGGGACGAAAGCUAGGGGCACGAACCGGAUUAGAUACCCGGGUAGUCCUAGCCGUAAACGAUGCUCGCUAGGUGUCACGGCAGUCGUGAAUUGCCGUGGUGCCGUAGGGAAGCCGUGAAGCGAGCCACUUGGGAAGUACGACCGCAAGGUUGAAACUUAAAUGAAUUGACGG